rnacentral:rRNA from 1 species
CGACGCACUUGGAGGAUGUAUAGCGAAAGCUAGUUGCAUUAAAUUCGAUUAAUUCGAAGUUAAUGCAUCAUCGACUAUGUCGAAUAAAGUUCUAGGUAGAGUUAUGAUAAUGACAUUUUCUAUCUAUGUGUCUUGACCAAGUCACGUGCCAGCAGUCGCGGUAAUACGUGGAAGACUAGUGUUAUUCAUCUUUAAUAGGUUUAAAGGGUACUUAGACGGUAAAUUAAGCCCAGAUAAAAACAAAGGGUACUAAUUAUACUAGAGUUGGAUAUGAGGAGGGUGUGUACUAGUGGUGUAGAGAUGAAAUUCAGUCAUACCNUUNUGNCNGGCAACGGCGAAAGCAACCUUUAGAUAAAAACUGACGUUAAAGGACGAAGGCUUUGUGUCACCAACAGGAUUAGAUACCCAAGCAGUCUUAGCAGACAAUUAUGAAUGCCAUAGGUAAGAAGUUUUUUUUGUCUAUAAAUGAAAGUGUAAGCAUUCCACCUCAAGAGUAAUGUGGCAACGCAGAAACUGAAAUCAUUAGACCGUUUCUGAAACCAGUAGUGAAGUAUGUUGUUUAAUUAGAUGGUCCGCAAAAAACCUUACCACAAUUUGUAUAUUAUUAGCUUAAUACAAGAGUUGCACGGCUGUUUUUAGUUAAUGUCGUGAGAUUUUGGUUAGUUCCAUUAAAUUAACGUA